CGUAGCUGUUCAACACUAAAUAUCAAUGAAAUGUUGGAAAUGAGGCAUUACAAGGUGAGCUAUACAAGAUGCCGAUAAGAAAAUCAAUCAGGACAAAUAAAUGAAACUGAAGGUGUCAUCUGAACCGGGAAAUAAAUGCUGUUAAUGAGAGCUUUAUUGAUAUCUGCCUAAAGGAACACAUCUCAACAUUCUUGCCGGUGUGCUAGUCUCCUACACUCGUUCCUCAUCACUAAACUGAGCACACGAGACAUAUGUACAUGCACUAGGCCCUCCACUAACCGAACUCAGCGAGCUCCUAUCCUAGUAGCUCAACUAUCAGAUAAGAAAACAAUAGCGGUAAGAAUUUUUUCUGGCAGUGACUGCUGAGUUAGAACCUUCAGAAGUUCAGACUUCAGACCAUGGUUGGUUCCAGCUAAACCACAAGCUGCAAGAUAGAUAAAAAACAGUGUCAAAGUUCAAUAAUUAGUUUUCACCAAAGGGAAUAGAGUCUAUUAACAGCGGGAUUCCUCAUCGCUGUUCCAUACCUUAAAAGGCUAUCUAUCAGCUACAUACUUGGGAAGGCCAUGCAAGAGUGAAUGUUCUCUUGUCAUUGUCACCAUUGUCGUGUUGCUCGGGCUUCUUCUCGUUUGCAAGCGUGGGCAUAACAGAUUCGAAGGCCUGGACAAGCAUCUCAACUUUCCUCUUCUGAGCACGGGCCAGCUUCUUCACUUCCUUCCGAAGAGCGUAGUCGAGCAUCCACUCCUCAGCGGCUCUGGGAUCGCCCACCGACUGAUGCUUGAGAUCGACCUUCUCUGACGGAAGGAAAUUCGGAAGCCUGGGUUUGAAAGGACGCAUUCGCUUGACACCCUGUUCAGAUGUUCUCCUCCUCCUGGCAAUGCUCGACCCGUUCUGCUGCUGAGAGGAUGCUGCUGCAUAGGCACAGGCAGAGCUAACAUCUUCAAAGCUUAUCCCACUGAGCGAGCUGGAAACGCUAUCGACCGACGAUUCCUUUGGAGCACCACCACCCACGCCACCUGCAAAAUCGCCAUAUGGUUCGUCAUGCAUCAAGGACUGCUGCUCGAUUCCAACGUGCGCACGAGCGAUACGGUUCGCGGAAACAUUGCUGGAAACCUCACCUUGAGGAUUGUUUCCUCCGUGUUUAACGUCCAGCUCCUCGGAGAUGUCAGACCUGCAGUCACCCAUGUCCUCCCCUCCAUGGUCCACCAAGGUCUUCUUCUCCUCAAGGCCGCGAUGCUUGGUCGUCCCCGACGGCUCAAACGAGCCAGCCGAGAUCACGUCGCUGGACGCGCAGGACCCGUCCACGGAAGCAGCGCCCGAACCCUCCGCGUCGCCACCGCAGCAGCCCAGGGGACCGAACACGACGUGCUCCGUCCGCCCCACUUCGUCGGACGAGAGAUCGCUGCUGGUCACGUCCGAGCCGGCGCGUAUCUCGACGAAGUAGCCGCUUCCGUGACCGGCGGCGGCGUUGCGGAACGGCGAGGCGCCCUUGAGCUUCAUGCGCUGCUGCGUCUUGAUGAGCCGCCUCCGCGCCGCCACGAAGGCGCCCAGGGGCGGCACGGGUGCUGCCGCGUGGGCGUGGCCCUUGAAGGAGCAGUACGCGUAGGGGCAGGCGUCCGCCGACCCGGCGGCCCCGGGCCCCUUCAUGGCGGAGGAGCACGUGGCCCUGCACGCGCGCAGCGCCGCAGCCGUCAGCACCGCCUUCUCUCUCCCUGGCUGAGGAUGCGGCGCGGCGGCGGCGCUGGACCUGGCGCCGGAGCAGGUCGUCGCCCUCAUGUAGUUGGGGGCCGGCGGCGCCGGGGCCAUGCCGCCAGAGCGACCCCUGCUUCCCGGACCCCCGGCCGGCACGGCGCUGGGGUCUUUGGGCUUCUUGCGCGCUGGCUUCCUCAGCACCAUGGCGCGGGGACUUAUUGGUUUCUUGGAGCGGUCCGGGACUCCGGGUUGCUUAUCCGAGCGGCGACCGAGGGAAGGGAGGCAGGCAAGGCAAGGCCAAAGAAAGGGAAGGUUUCGCUGAACUCCUGGACGGGCAAGGGUUGGGGCGACGCGAACAAGGAAGGUCAGGUGGUGGUGAUCGUUGCGAGAUUCGGGUUCCUUUGGAUUCGGAAGGGGGCGGCGGCGGCGAGGGCGGCGUGGCUGGACGCUUUCAAGAAUCGUCCAAGAAGCGUUCGGACUUCGGAGGGGAGCUGGAUUUUGAAUGCGUUCGUC
rnacentral:misc_RNA from 1 species